CAAUAGCGUAUAUUAAAGUUGUUGCAGUUAAAAAGCUCGUAGCUGGAUUUCUGGUAGGAGUGACCGUUCCGAACUUGAUUGUUCGUGUAUUGUGUUUUCUCCAGCCAUCCUUGUGGAGAACUUUUCUUGCAUUAAUUUGUAGGGAUUGGGACCCGCAUCGUUUACUGUGAAAAAAUUAGAGUGUUUAAAGCAGGCAAUCGCUUGAAUACAUUAGCAUGGAAUAAUAAGAUAGGACUUUGGUACUAUUUUGUUGGUUUGCAUACCAAAUUAAUGAUCAACAGGAACAGUUUGAGGAUAUUCGUAUGAACAUGUCAGAGGUGAAAUUCUUGGAUUUUGAUCAGACGAACUACUGCGAAAGCAUUUAUCAAGGAUGUUUUCAUUAA
rnacentral:rRNA from 1 species